rnacentral:rRNA from 1 species
GCUGUCGGCGUGCCUAAUACAUGCAAGUCGAACGAACUCUGGUAUUGAUUGGUGCUUGCAUCAUGAUUUACAUUUGAGUGAGUGGCGAACUGGUGAGUAACACGUGGGAAACCUGCCCAGAAGCGGGGGAUAACACCUGGAAACAGAUGCUAAUACCGCAUAACAACUUGGACCGCAUGGUCCGAGUUUGAAAGAUGGCUUCGGCUAUCACUUUUGGAUGGUCCCGCGGCGUAUUAGCUAGAUGGUGGGGUAACGGCUCACAAUGGCAGUGAUACGUAGCCGACCUGAGAGGGUAAUCGGCCACAUUGGGACUGAGACACGGCCCAAACUCCUACGGGAGGCAGCAGUAGGGAAUCUUCCACAAUGGACGAAAGUCUGAUGGAGCAACGCCGCGUGAGUGAGGAAGGGUUUCGGCUCGUAAAACUCUGUUGUUAAAGAAGAACAUAUCUGAGAGUAACUGUUCAGGUAUUGACGGUAUUUAACCAGAAAGCCACGGCUAACUACGUGCCAGCAGCCGCGGUAAUACGUAGGUGGCAAGCGUUGUCCGGAUUUAUUGGGCGUAAAGCGAGCGCAGGCGGUUUUUUAAGUCUGAUGUGAAAGCCUUCGGCUCAACCGAAGAAGUGCAUCGGAAACUGGGAAACUUGAGUGCAGAAGAGUACAGUGGAACUCCAUGUGUAGCGGUGACAUGCGUAGAUAUAUGGAAGAACACCAGUGGCGAAGGCGGCUGUCUGGUCUGUAACUGACGCUGAGGCUCGAAAGUAUGGGUAGCAAACAGGAUUAGAUACCCUGGUAGUCCAUACCGUAAACGAUGAAUGCUAAGUGUUGGAGGGUUUCCGCCCUUCAGUGCUGCAGCUAACGCAUUAAGCAUUCCGCCUGGGGAGUACGGCCGCAAGGCUGAAACUCAAAGGAAUUGACGGGGGCCCGCACAAGCGGUGGAGCAUGUGGUUUAAUUCGAAGCUACGCGAAGAACCUUACCAGGUCUUGACAUACUAUGCAAAUCUAAGAGAUUAGACGUUCCCUUCGGGGACAUGGAUACAGGUGGUGCAUGGUUGUCGUCAGCUCGUGUCGUGAGAUGUUGGGUAAGUCCCGCAACGAGCGCAACCCUUAUUAUCAGUUGCCAGCAUUAAGUUGGGCACUCUGGUGAGACUGCCGGUGACACACCGGAGGAAGGUGGGGAUGACGUCAAAUCAUCAUGCCCCUUAUGACCUGGGCUACACACGUGCUACAAUGGAUGGUACAACGAGUUGCGAACUCGCGAGAGUAAGCUAAUCUCUUAAAGCCAUUCUCAGUUCGGAUUGUAGGCUGCAACUCGCCUACAUGAAGUCGGAAUCGCUAGUAAUCGCGGAUCAGCAUGCCGCGGUGAAUACGUUCCCGGGCCUUGUACACACCGCCCGUCACACCAUGAGAGUUUGUAACACCCAAAGUCGGUGCGGUAACCUUUUAGGAACCAGCCGCCUAAGGUGGACAGAUGAU